rnacentral:lncRNA from 1 species
GCUCAACCGUUAAGGUGCGUAUUCCGGCCCAUCGUUCUCGCCGCCCUUCCAACCAUUCUCAUCUUCUCGCCAAGGUGGGAGAGCAUCGGCCCAUCCCUGGUGCCUAUCUCCCCGUCCAUCCAAUAGCGGCCCCCCAGCGGCUCCGUGUAGCCCGUGCCUUCGAGGGCGUCCCGUCCGAAGGGCUGGUAGAGCGCGCAGUACGACGUCAGGGACCUCCCACGUUCCCUCGAAUGGGCAGAAUGCCCAUCAGUCCGAGGGUACGUCCUCGCGCAUCGAUUCGCAUUCGAAUUCCGUACACACGCCUACCGCUUCGAGAUAGCGCUCCUAGGUUCCGUGCCCGCGUAGCCAUGCCUGCCCGCUAUCCGCCAGAUCGUGCUGGACGAGCUGGGCCACCUCAAACGGGGCAUUCGCACCCGACAUGCUCUGGCGGUUCGGCCGCUCCCAGGAGAGUGCGAACGCAUGACACAUCAGCUCGUCAGAUGUGUCCAAGAGCCUCGCGUUGACGUCGCCUGCCUGGGCUCUACUGAACCAUGGGCUGUAUCGCCGGUGAUCAUGGUCGCACAGUGUGCCUUAUCCCCUCGGGGGCGGCACUCACAACAUACGUCAGGGCGGCGUUUGUGUUCUUGAAGGACAGAUGCAGUACAACCGCCCUUAGCUUCCAUAUGUCGAUGUCCCGACAUAUCCACGAAUGCAGGGCACCGAGGCUGAGUGUGAGCGUAAGACGUACAACGGACGGCGACCCGAACCCUAGAUGCUCCCAACCGGCUCAAGGAUCGUGUGCGUCGGACCGUGGUGUGCGUUGGCGUUCGGAUCGCCCUUCGUCGCGUAGUGUCGCGCCGGGGCGCAGACGCACUCCACUAAGAAGAGGAGCACGACUCCGCUCUGUGCACGCAGGUGCCACCACCACUGCGGCGGCUUGGCUUCUGCCUCGCAGCCGCAUUAAUAUCUGCUUUAUCCAGGGUCCUGCCACCGCUCAUGACCGCCGACCGCCGCCUUCUGAGUUUCAGCUGGGGUUCCAGAUAUGCACGCGUUGUUGGCAC